rnacentral:rRNA from 1 species
ACCUGCGGAGGGAUCAUUAGCGAGUUAAUUACAAACUCCAAACCCAUGUGAACAUACCUACUGUUGCCUCGGCAGGCCGUGCUGCGCGGCUGGAUCGCCCCCCCGCGUGGGCAGCUACCCUGGAGUAGCUACCCUGUAGCGGGAGCGGCCCGCCCCGCGGCGCGCCAACAGGCCUGCCGAAGGACCCCUAAACUCUGUUUCGCACCUGUAUCUCUGAGUUUAUUAUACAAAUAAGUUAAAACUUUCAACAACGGAUCUCUUGGUUCUGGCAUCGAUGAAGAACGCAGCGAAAUGCGAUAAGUAAUGUGAAUUGCAGAAUUCAGUGAAUCAUCGAAUCUUUGAACGCACAUUGCGCCUAAUAGUAUUCUGUUAGGCAUGCCUGUUCGAGCGUCAUUUCAACCCCCAAGCCCUAUUUGCUUGACGUUGGGAGUUUACGGAGACGUAAUUCCUCAAAUAUAGUGGCGGAGCUGGGUCGUGCUCUAAGCGUAGUAACCAAAUUCUCGCUUUUGAGGCCGGCCCGGGUCCUGCCGUAAAAC